ensembl:lncRNA
UGGAUUUCUUGUUUUGAUUUUUUUUUAUUCAUUUCUAUUGGACGCCAUCCAAAAAUACUAGAAGAAUGACAUUUAGUCUCUUAGCCACAUUCAAAGGUGUUUAGUGUAAAUUUCUGGGAGUAAGAUCAAUGUCAGAACCAACCAACACAGAUAGUAGCAUUGUGAAUAAGCUGAAAACAUGACACUCGGGGUUUUGAAAAUAUUUUUUCCUGCAACAGAGACAUGUAAUUGCUAUAUGUACAUACUACUCCUUUCUGAUGUCAGUAGCUGUUGCUUUGAGAUGCCAAAAUUUGUCCGCAUUUUCUAGCUGAAAAAUAAAGAAUGGAAACCCAAUGCUGUUUGAUGUGAGUAGGUGCAAUUUGUACUAGAAAAAGCUCGAAGUUAUGAGAUUGGUAGGUAAGGGCCAGGUACUCAUGUUCAGAUGCUCAGCUCCAUGCUAAACAAAAGCUUCAAGUUUUCAAAAAAACAAAACAAAACAAACAACAACAAACCAACAAAAAAGAAAAAAAAAACAGUCUUAUCUAUUUAGGCUAACUCCUAAAAACAAAAUUUUAAACAGCAAAUUUCAGCUUAUUCUUCAAUAUAUGAGAAUUGCUCUGAAGGUAAUGACUCCUAUCUUAUGAUGUUGGCCCACAAUGGAAAAAAAAAAAAAAAAAAAAAAAAAGGCAUCCACUGACAUUUGCUGAUGCUUACUGAAUGUUUAUGGUGGCCAAACAAUGGUGGUGCGGUGGUGCAUUUUAGCAGUGGCAACAGCAACAUGAAAGAUAAGCCACGUUCCAGUUACAUGGAUUUUCACAAGCACAGCAUCCAGACUCUUGUUCAUUACUGGCAAAAAUGCAUAGCUUACAGCGGUAUCUAUUUUGAGAAAUAGUGUUUUAUAGCUGAGAAUUUUCUCUACUGAAUAGUUUUACUGUGCUCUUUGUAUCUGUUGUAGUUUCCAUGGAAAUAAAUAGGAGGCAUUACUUGUGGAGUGUCCUACGUACAUACACCAUUUAAAUUAGAAAUACAGAAAAAAAAACCAACAGGUAAUUCAGUUUCAGGAUAACCACACUUUGCCAGUGUGGUUAUUACAAUUCAGAAAUAAUUGUGCUUGCUUUUGUCUGCCCCUUCACCCCUUUCAGCUGUGUCUUCUAUGACCACUCAAUUUGAAAAUGCUACAUUCUGGUACAUUAUCUGAGGAACAAAAAUACUUUAUCUGGGCUUACUGCUUUUAUUCAACACCCAGAACAAUCUAUGUCUAUUCCUUUAAGCUCCUUGGGAUGUGAAAAAAUAUGGUUACAUAAAUCUUUGUAAUCCUGAGGGGAGGAUAGCAUAUAAAGAGUUUACUGGCGUUAGGAUUAAGUCUAGUGUAUUACAAUGCAAUCUUUAAUCUGCUAAAAUCUACCUUGGUGUUGCAAGCUGUUUUGUGCUUGUAGAUGAAGUUUUGGAAAUAGGACACAGCUGGCAACACUGAUAGAACACCUUAAAAAAGGAAGAAAAGAAAGAAAAAAGACAAAAUCGGUGAAUCUACUAAUGAACAGAUUUGCCACUGCUCCUUGUACAGUGGGCUCUUAUGAGUCUAAAAAAUGACAGAUGAUGGAGGAAAUCCUUGUAACUGAAACUAGGAAGAAACAGUCACUAAAGUUGAAAACACCGCCAUAGUCACCACAGAAAAUCACAAAUGUGAAGCAAAACCCAUGUAACAUUGCCGUGCAAGCUGCAAGAGUCUUACUUGGUUUUGAGAUUCAUCAAUCCAAAUGAAUGUAACAAAUGAGUCUUAGGUACCUAAGAAAAAUGAAAAAUUCCUCAUGCUGAAAGAGACUUUGUUCUCUUUUGAUAAAUCUGUAUGAAAUGAUAACAUUGCUGCAGUCAUGUGCUACUUCAGAGAAAAAAAAUGGGGAAAAUGGCUAUUUUUAGGCAUUUUUCUAAAGAACACCACAGUUCUACUAUUUGAACUUGUCUAUUCCCAGUCAAACAUUUUCCUGUCAAGCUACACAUUACUUCUUCUGAGUUUAAAGAUUCAAAACCAAUGUAGAUCAGCAAUUAAUGCAUAGGCCUAACUGGGAGAGAGGCUGGGGCACAGGUUUCUAGCUCUGCAGCCUUGGCUAAAGCAUUUUUUGGGCACAGCUAUGUGCUCAGGAAAGAAAACAAAAUAUAAAGAUUUGCUUAAGAGCUACUGUGACCUAUGACAGUUAAAUAUCAGAUUAAAUGAAAAUCUAAUUAGGGCCUUAGGUAUUAAAUACAGUUGACCAAGGGAAGCCAAUUGAUGUUGUCUAUUUUGGACCUGCGUAAAGCUUCAGAUACUCUUUCUCUCAGUAUCCUUCUGGUCAAAAUGUCCAGCACACAGCUAGACAAAAAAACAUAAAGCAAUGGAUGAGCAACUGGCUGAUGGUAUGGGUUGAAGAGUUAUGUAUAAUAAGCUACAGUAAAUGGGUUUACAUCAGGCUAGCCAGCCACUAGUGGGGUUCCUCAGGGCUCCAUUAUAGGGCCACUUCGCUUUAAUGUUUCCAUAAAUGACUUGGAUGUAGGACUAGAAGGUGUUUUGAGCAAGUUUGCUGGUGACACUAAAUUGAGAGGAGCUGCUCACUCCAUCACAGGUGGCAAGGCCUUGCAGAGAGGUCUAGACAAAUGAGAGAGCUGUGCAGCCACCAACUGCAUGAAGAGCAAGUGCCAGAUUCUGCACUUGGGAAGGGGCAAACCUGGCUAUACAUACAAACUGGGGGAUGAGAUGGUGAAGAGCAGACCAGCUGAAAUCUGUUCUGGUCAUGGUUGACAGCAAGUUUAGCAUCAGUCAGCAGUGUGCCCAGGUGGACAGGAAGGCCAAUUGUAUCCUGGGAUGCAUCAAGCAUGGUCAAGGGAAUGGAUUGCCCCACUCUACAUGGCCCUGGUGCAGCCUCACCUUGAAUACUGGGUGCAGUUUGAGGCACUACACCACAAAAAGGACAUAAAACUAAUAAAAAGUACCCAAAGGAGGGCUAAAAAUAUGGUGACAAGUCUAGAUGGGAAGAGAUAUGAGGAGCAGCUGAAGUCCCCCGGUUUGUUCAGCCCAGAGUAGAGAAUGAGGAGAAACCUCAUUGCAGCCUAUUGCUUCCUCACAAGGGGGAAUGGAAGAGCAGGUGCUAAUCUCUGCUCUCUGGUGACAGGAACAGGACCAGAGGGAGUAGCACGGAGCUACAUCAGGGAAAGGUCAGAUUGAUUGUCAAGAAAAUGUUCUUCAACAAGAGGUUAACAGGCACUGGAAAAGGCUCCCCAUGGAAGUGUAAUGACAUUGAGUUUGCCAGAGUUCAGUAAGCAUCUGGAAAAUGCUCUCAGUCCUAUGAUCUGAUUUUUGGGUAGUCCUCUGUGAAUCCAGGGGUUGGACUCAAUGAUCAUUAUGGGUCUCUUCCAACUUGGGAUAUUCUGUGAUUCUAUACUGUAUCUGAAAAAAAGAGAGUUCAUGUGGGCCUUUUCCAUAGCUGAGAGCCCUAUAGGAACCUCACAUAGUGCAUCAAAAAAUAAAUAAUUAAGGUUUUCCCUUAAGCUCUUAAGUGAUAUUCAAAUUCUGAAACUGAAAACUACUGUUUCGAACAAUUCAAAGUCUGAACAAAUUAUUAGACAUCAGCAUAAAAUUCUGUACUUUCCUGGAAUGCUGCCAGGGUGUUGAGUUUUUUUUUUACUUUUCGUUUUGUUUAAUGGAGAUGCAUAUUUUUCUACAGCUAGGGUUGUUCCAUCUGCCCUUGUCAAGCUUUAAAUAUACUAGAGCUCGUUAGAGCUAAAUAUAAGCCUUAAUACACAGACUUAUGUUUAUCUUAUAAAAUUAUGCAAAUUAUCCUGCACAUAAACUGAUAUUGAUCAGUAUUUCUGUUAGAUAAGUUAAGCUUUAAGCAAAAUAGUUCCAGUCUUAGAAGGAAGCCUUAGCAGAAAGGAGUCAUGAGACUUCAGAAUCUACAAGAUUGUAAAGUAGUAGCUUUUCCUUCUUAUUUACUAGUUUGCAUUUCCAAAGCACUACACAAUCGUGAACAAAUUAAUCUAAGGCAUUACAGUGAAUUUUACAGAUAAGGACAUUAAAAGCCUUUAGUAAAUGUUUAAUUGAAAUAACUGCCAUACGUUAAUUCCAAGAAACUUGUUUCAGUAUCAGAAAGAUUUAGCAAACAUCUAGUGAGAGUGAACUCAAUAUGCCCCAGUGCAGAGAAUCUCACGUGCACUACCCUUCUCCCUCAGCUAGAAAGAACUGCUUUGAAAUGACAUCUUAAGAGUAAAUGAGGAGCACACUAAGAAUGGAAAGAAAUUAAUAAUACACAAGCCUAUGGAAUAGACAGAGCAUGUGCAGAAACCAUAUUCUUUAUGGCUGCCCCUUAGGCAACAGCACAGCUUUGCAUGGAGAAAAAGCUUUCACUUGGUCCUCACAGUAGUUCUGAAUCUAACUUCCAAAUCAAAGGAUUUGUACUCCUUUAAGCAAGAGUGACUGUCACCCCCUCCAGAAUGGUAAGUUAAUUCUAAUCACUCAGUAAAAUCUGGCAGAGGAUAGCCUGUGGUGAACUCAAAGGUUUUCUCACAGAACUGUGUUUUAAUGUAAAGCAUCACCGCUUCUGCAUUCUGUCAUCUGCCAAUGGGAAUCCAAUUGCUUCAGGAUCCCUACUAAACACCACUGUCAUAAAAUAAACUUUUAUAUUAAACUUCUGUUCCUGUGCAGUCAUUUUUGAACAAAGUGUCUGGCAUUUAACCAAUUGGUCUUUUCCUGGGUAAAGGUCAUAGAGAAAGAAGGAGGAUGUGAUCCUUCACAUCCAAUUAUCCACAUCUCGAGACAUGUUAUACUGGAAGAUUUUUGCCACAUCUCAUCUAUUAGGAUAACCCUUUCCCUAGCACAAUACCAAACUGUUGUGUUUCUGGAACUGAUAUCCAAUAGUGAUUUCAGUAGAAAAGAGUGGAUGGAAAAAAAAUUAAAUCUACUAGGAAAAAUAGGUCUUCACAUUUCACAAUAACAUGCAUAUUGCUUAUUAGCAGGCAUUUAGGUCAUAUAUGCACAGAGAGUCUAGCAGUCCAGCCGUGUGACUAUCCAGCCAGAAGCACACCAUCAGUUGGGUGGGCAGACCCAAGAACGCUUGCACAUCCUCUGUCAGCCUGGUUUGUUUCCAUAGAUGACUUUUUAAGAAAUGUCUCUUAACUGAUACUUUUGGCUUCCUAUGCAUGACAAGGUUAUGUUUGAUAAGUGCAUAAAUACACUAUGGUAUUUUAGAUUUCUUGCUUACCCAGUUUUGGGGGACAAAAGAUCUCUGAGUAAAAAAGAAUCUGGGAUAUUUUGAGAAUAUUCUCCAAGGGGGAGAAAAAGGAAGGCAGGUGGCAGAGUGAGAGCUAGGAAGGAGAGAGCAGAAGGGUGAAUAAUAUUAUAUUACUAAUGAAUGAUGGCCUGCUGGUGUGAACUUGAAGUGUUUUAAGAUCCACCCCAUCAAAGCUGAGAUUACCUGAAAAAUAUUUUCCUGAAUCUCUAAAAUAUUCUCAAAGUUUUGUAUUUGCCUCUCAUUCUUCAGGGUAACAUCCUCAAUUUUGGAUUAAAAGUAAAGUAUUUAAUCCUGGAACUGUUGUUUAUUCAGGCAACAAGCUGAAUUUCAUUCUUAUAUUGGUUCUUCUUAAAUAAACAUAGAUGUAUACCUGGAAUACUGAAGAUAUAUCUUGCAAAACAAUGAAUGAUAAUAAACAAUGAUAUGCUAUGAUGAUAAACAGUGAAACUGCUUAGAUAGUAAAUAGGUGGCAUUCCUAAAAGAAGUAAAGCUAGACAUGGACCAGCUUUUGCUUCUUCCUAUAUAUCUGCCCUUAAUAUUUGUGGACUUUUUGUUAUAAGUGAAUUUAAUGAGUGUCAUUCUGCACAUUUACUAAGUAAGGCAACAGGCACUGUGCAUAUUGGUCUGUGCUCAGAUAAAAUUUCAGUUAAAAUAUAUAUAUGAAUAACCAAAUAUACUCACUACAAGAGCACAUUAAAAAAUGGAAAACAAAAAAACACUCUGUUGAAUACUGUCUGGCUCUGUUUUGUGAAGGCCUUCCCAAAUCCUCUCCUAUCUUCACAAAAUCAGGAUAGUAUAUUCUCUUAUGUCUUAGCAAAAUAAAAAUGAUACCUGGCAUUUCAUCUGCUUAGUUGGCUCUGCUGUUAAGGGAUUUAAUUCCUCUCAGCAGAUAUACAAAUGAGAACAUUUGUCUUAGUCCUAGAGACAGAAUCAUUUAUGUUACACUGCUUUGCAUUAUGUUAAUAAUUUCUAUCCUAAGUGAAGUCACAGGAAGUGUUUGUCACUAUCUCCAAUGGGACUCAAAUUUAUUUGAUGUAUGUUUAGUAUAUAUAAAGUUCAGUCAUUUCACUAGAGUUCUUAUAUUCAUAAUGGAUAACAUUUUUCUCCAAUGCUUUUUUGAAAGGAGGAAAAAAAUUGCAUGCAUGCAUAUUCAUAAAAUACUACCACAGAAGAAUUAGAAUUGUGUACAAUUUGAAAGAGUGCUGAAUUACAGGUGGGGUUAAAACAACUUCACAUUAGUGAAAUAUCGUAUGGUGGCUUUCAUUAUUGAUUCUCUGUCAACAUCACGUUAGUUCUUUUCUAAAUCAGUUCUGUGGCUUGAACUUGAAAAGACCAUGAUGCGGAGUCCACAGGUUCAUUCUAAUUGCUCCUUUUCCUGGUAGACUCCACUGUGCCAGCCUGUCACUCAUCAAGACCAUUUGUCUGUGAACAGACUUAAUUAAGCACCUCAAAUCCAAUUUCUUUGAUCUUUUACACUAUUAAGGAAACACACUCAGUCCAUCAGCUAUGGAGAGUUUUCUAAAGAAAAACCUCCUGAAAACACCCACUGGUGUUAUUCUCCUCUGUUGAAAUAGAAAGUUCAAAAACAAGCAGGUGAAUUAGGAAGGGAAAAUAAAAUAAUUGGAGAGACAACAAAAAAAUUGUUAAAUCCUAAAUAUUCAGAAGAUUUAAGGAGUGAUUUACAGCACUUAUCAACUCUUGCACUUUUUUUCUCUCUCAAGAGAGAAAAAUAUCCAGUAGAGACUUGAUUUAAAUAUAAAUGUUUAGUUACCCUCCUUUCAGAAUUUAGCAGGCAAUUGCAUUUGUUUUUGUGAAAGAGGUAUGCACUUUCAGCAUCCUUUCUCACUGCUCAAAUAUCCAGCACAUUGAUAGAAAUGGUCAGGUGGAAACACUUUAAAAAUAAAUAACCAGAGUUUCAUGAAAAUAAUUCAAGAGCUGCUUUUGGGCUUUUUUAUUAACAUUCUUGCCAUUUACACUGUAUUGACUUAAUUAUUUUCAGAUAAUAUUUACCUGUGUCUACUCUUAUAAUUGCAUCUUAUGCAAAACUGUUUGCAUUCAUAAAAAGAUCUUAUCUCGCAGCUUUGUGACAGAGAUUAUUCUGCACUCAAUGGCUACUCACUGCACCAUCAACCAGAAACCAAAUUCAUAAUAUAGAUUGUUGUGAGUAAUAACUUUUAAGGAUUUUUUAAUAAUUAAUUUAUUAAUAAUGAUUUCAUUCCACACUGGGAAAUAAGUUAUUUGUAUUUUAGAAAAUACUGCUGCUAAAGGUGUUUUUCUGAAAGAAGAUCACUAGCUAUAGUUCAUUCUAUUGUUGUCAGGUAUUUUUCAUGCCUUGUUAGCUAAUUUCCUCUUCUUACUGUCAGUUAAAUAUUUUCCAGAAUUUCAUGGUUAUGGAAUGGAGAUCAGACUUCUGCAGCCAUAUCUGAAGAGCAGCUCCUGUGUGACAAACACUUAACUGGUUAAAGAGUGUUUUACAACUCUACGUAAGGCUGAAUUAACCAGAUAAAUAUUCAGGCCUAAACAUGGUCAUGGUACAAAGUUGAUUUGAAACAGAUAAAAAUUGCUAAUUCGAGCUUUGUGAAAACUUUACACAUAUAUUUGUAUAUAAAAUAUUUAGUUCUCUCUUUAGUUUGAGACUAUUUCUUCUAUUAACAAUUCAUUAUGGUCUAUGUAACAACAUACGUAAAUGAAGUAGAAAUGUCUUCAGUGACUACUGGGAUUGCUCAGUCUGGAGAAGAGGCUCAGAGGAGACCUUAUUGCUCUCUAUAGCUACCUGAAGGGAGGAUGUCGUGAGCUGGAGGUCGGCCUCUUCUCUCAUGUAACUAGUGAUAGGACUAGAGGGAAUGGCCUCAAGUUACUCCAGGGAAGAGUCUGGCGGGACAUUAGGAAAUACUACUUUUCUGAAAGAGUCAUCAGGUGCUGGAAUGGGCUGCCACCCAGAGAGAUGGCGGAGUCACCAGCCCCGGAGGUGUUCAAGGAAUGUUUAGACGCUGUGUUGAGGGACAUAGUUUAGUGAGAACUAUUGGUGAUAGGUGGACAGUUGGACUGGAUGAUCUUGUAGGUCUUUUCCAAUCUUAGCGAUUCUAUGAUUCCAUACUUCAUUGUAUACUACGAUUAUAACUAUCCUCAGACAAAAAAAAAUUAUGUGGCAAAUGUAGUACAUUUCCUAUGUUCCUUUUAGAAGCACUUUUUUGUCCUUCAGAAAACAAAAAUCAGAUUUAUUUUAGAGUUUACUUUUCUUAAAUUCCUAUCAGAUAAGACAGAUAUUUAUGCUAGAAAGUAGUAUAGAGUUUAUUUAAUUACUUUUCCAGUUUCUAUUCUCUAUUCUAUUUCAGUUCUCUCUCAGAAUAUAAGGUACAUUUGGAAGUUUGAAGAACUGUAGGACAAAACUUAUGAUGAAAGCUGAAAACUGGCAUUAGAUUUUAUUAAAUAAAUCAUCACUGCAAGAAGGUAGAAAUAAUCCUGAGCAAUGCUGUAAAUUCCACGUAGUCUCAAUUUGUUCUCACUUCAUUUUGCAGUAGUAUUCACAUGUGCUAGCUCAUAAGAGUUGAUAUCACUGUUAGUUAUUGCUGUGCUUUCUUCUAAUUACCACCAAAUUGUGACCACAGCAAACUACAUAUGUUUUUUAAAAUAUCACUCUUUUAGUUCUUCAUCCUUGAUGCAAACAUGAUGAGAAAUGUAUCUAUGCUUAUUAGGUGUCUUACAGCAAGGCAAAGUUACCCAUAUUAAGUCUCAGGAGAUAGGACUUUCUUCUGACCCAGAUAUUUACAAAACUGGAAGUCAAAGUACAGCAACAUGAGCAAUUGGACAAGUCAUCAGUAAGAGCUAAUGAGAAACUGUGUAAAAUGACAUAAUUCUAUUGGAUACUGAGAUGGUAUCAUUAGUAUGUAUUAAAAGACUCAGAGAGGGUUAAAUUAAGAAAUGAUGUGCCACUUUUCAUUAUCCCAAGGAAGUCCUGUAUACAGUAUAUCAUUAGAAACUAUUUACUGAAGCAAAAUAUCAAGCACACAUUGUGUAUCUCUUGAAUCAAGAUGUCAUAAAUAAAUAUUUUCAAGACAAAAUAAGCAAACUUGCACUUCAGUAGGCCAUGAAUCUGACCUCUUUAUCAUGUACUUCAAAAUAAAAUCACUGACUUCUUUUUUUUAACAGCCUUUGCUCACCAUCCACUAGAAUUUUCUGACAAAAAUCCCCACAAGGGCUCUGAGUUAAGGCGGGCUGAGCUAGCUGACACAACCAACUCUGAUUUCCAUUCAGUAUUCAGCUAGUUCCAGUCACCAAAGGGUCUUAAAUUAAGGUAACAUGAGAUAAGAGGGAAGAUCCUCACUGGGAUAACUAACUAAGAGAUUGGAAACAAAGAGCUUCAAUAAAUGGUCAAUUUUCUCAGUGAAUAGAAGGCACCAGUGGUAUCCCACAGGGAUCUUCACUGGGGCCAAAGCUGCUCGACAUGCUCGGGGCUGAUCAGGAGAACAGAAUGGAGAGCAGAUUAAGUUUGCUGUUGCUACCAAGUUUUCAUGGUAAGAAAAACAGAAACUGACUGCUAAAAAGAGAGUUGAAGAAAGACUCUGUGGCACUGAGUGAUUGGGGAUAAAAUGGCAGACGACAUUCAGACUACACAAAUGUAAAGUAAUGAACUUGGCAAAAAACAGCUCAUGCUGUGCCCAGUGAUUGAUUCUGAAUUCACUGCUACAUCAGACAAAAUAACAGCCUUAUGAAAAUAUCAGUUCAGUAGCUCAGGAAUCAUUAUCAGAGGAAAAUCUCAGAAAAUGUAAUGUUUUUGUGCAAAGUCAAUGCUAUGAUCAUAUCUUGAUUGUUAUGUAUAAUUCUGGUCCUUUCAUCUAGAAAAAGCACAGAGUAGAAUUUGAAAAAAAGGUGGACAAAGAUGAUCAAAGGUAACCAAAUAACUCACACAGAAGGGUGAUCUGUAAGAGCUGGGGCUCUCAAUCUAGAAAAGAGCCAACACAGAAGCACGUAAAAAUCACAGCAGACAAAUAGGAGAAUAAGGGAUAAACGAGCUGCCUCUUGCAUUGCAACAGGAAAGCCUCAGCUGGAAAUGAGCAUGUGGAAGUUCAACAUCAAAAACCAGACUGUGCACAGCUCAGUCAAACCUCUCUAAGCCUUGGCCAGUGAACAUCACUGAGUUGUGAAGAUUAUUCAUUUUAAAGAUCAAAGUGAACAAUUGCUUGAAGAAGCUCCAACUAAGUCCAUUAACAUUCCUUUUCCUGGGAAUCUCUUUUUGUACAAAGCUCAAAAUCCAGCCAAAAUCAUCAUGCAUUCAAGUGAUCAAUGAAUGAGCACUACAUACGGCAAUGAGGUAAAUGUUUGGGAAUGACAAAAACUAGGUAAGUAAGAAAAGGUACACUGCUCUCCUAUUAGCACAUUUCACAUUAGAGAAGGAUUCCAAGCAGCUUAAAAACAGAAAAUUAUGCCACAAUUUUGCAGAAUAAGAAAAAAUCACUGCAUUGCUAAGAGAAGUUUAAGUGUUGCAUGCAAAUCUUCACGACAAUUGAUUCGUAAGUAUGUUUUACUGCUCUGUUGUUGUGUUGUUCUCACUGGCAUUAAUUUGUGUUUUCCCGGGUAACUUAGAAUAAAAAAAUGACUACAGGUAAAAGAUUAGAAGGUAAAGAUUAGAGUUCUUUUUCCAACAUGAAUCCUGCCCUUUAUCAUUUAUGGAUAAGGCGGUGUUGCUCAACAAACAGCAUGGGCAUUAGCAGGUUAAUGAGCACAUACUCAAUGUUUUUGCACACCGUCUGAUGCUUGCUGUACAAAAUGCAAACUGUGAAACAAAAUGUAAUAAUUAGUUUUGUCUAUGUUAUUCUAGAGAACUCAUCACUAUGGUAUCUAAUUUAUUCACAAACAAAUUAAUUUUCACCAUGCUCCUCAGGGACAAGCAGGGCCAAAGUGCUGAAAGUAGUCAGUGUUAUAUUAGGAGGCAGCCUUCAUCCAAUAAUUUCCUUGCUUCUGAGUGCUGGAUUUUGAAGCCAUAAGCACAAGUUUCUGAUUCGAUAAACACAAGGUUUUUGAUGCUUAGAUUCUAAUGUGUGUGUGUUUAUUUUUCAAGGCAAUGAAGUUUAUAUUCAUUUCAUGAUCAUUUGCCACUUGAUUACAUGGAGUUAACUCACAGAGGAACUGCCUUUCCAAAGUUUCCCAGUCAAACUUGUAAUGAAUACUCCCCUCAUUUUGACUGAACUAUUUUGCUUUUUAAGAUGUAACUGUAGAUUUACAUCAGUGAGAGAAGAAGUGUCCAUAAAUAACCCAAAGGAGGACUUCUGAUUCAGGAAAUGGGAAGUAAAAUUCAGGAAGUGAUACCUUUUCCUCAUUGCUGCCGUAUAGACUUGAGGAAAACUCUAGCAUUACAACAGAGUUCCAAAGGGCAAAGAAGACUUGACCACAGGACUGCUUGAUUAUAGCAGAGAACACAUGCAGUAUGAGCUUUGGACAAGUAAGAGAUACUGCUUAUGCAUCUGCUGCCCAGAAAAAUUUACAGCACAAAUGUUGUAUGAAUCAGUGUGAUAGCUGCUGUCAGCUACAAAUAUCAUCUACAUAUUACGCACCUACCACAUGCAAAAUACUCCCACAAUGAUCUUAUUAAAGAGGCUGUGCCAUACAUCAAAAUAAUGUUAUACCUACAGCAGCCUGUAGGUUCUAAAAUAUGCCCUUCCUGCUUAUUUUGUACACAGCGAAAAAUGACACACUUGUGAGUAAACUUGCUCAUUAAUUCUGACAGAUAAUUCUGAAUACACAGUUGAAACCUCAACUUAAGUAUCUGAAAGAUGUAGAAAUAGAAGUGUUCCAAAUGUUAGUGAAAAAGAAGGAGUAAGAGGUAGAGGAACAGAGAUGACAACAUAAUUAUUUGAGCUGUGCAGAAUUUUAGAUGGGUAAUAAUUAACUGAGUGGUGAAUGGCUCAGAUAAGAGAGAGAAAAAUCUCACAACCUUUUUUUGAGUAGUGUCUGAAAAUAUCUGGAUCCAAAACAGAAGACUGUUUUGCAACAAUCACUCCUGAGUUUCCCUCUUCCACCAGCUUUUCCCAUCUACCUCAUUGUCUAAAAAGCAAAAGAUACUCUGGACACAACCAUGUAAGAACUGAGGAAUAGUCUGUGCUCAUUCACAGCCUUAAGGAGAUCAGUGUUCAUUGAGAUGGGAGGAAAAGAGAAUCUCCAGAGUUUUGUCUCAAAAAGGCCCAACAAACUGCAGAGCUGUGUGUCUGUGGCUGAGGUCCAGCCAGCCUCAGUGCCUCCGAGCAGCACAGGUGGGAGUUCCUCCACAUUUGAAGCUGUGGUCCCAUGUGCAAUGGCCCAGCUUCCCAGCAGGGCUGCUGCCCUUGGAACACCAACCAGCAGUAGGAGAAGCCUCACUGCCUCUCCAUUCCUUACUCAGAGCUAAGGAUGUCCAAGUCUGAGGCUGAAAGGGGGAAGCAGCAGUCCCAGUCCUGCCAAGCAUGAAGAUACAGGGCCCAGAAGAGAUGUCAGCACAACGCAUUGUCAAGGAGAUGAGUUUUAUCUUGCAUGUCAGAAACCAGCUGUGAUUACUCCAGGUGCUGUGAUCUGACAGAAUCAAAGCAUUUCCUAGAACAGCUUUGUGCCAUGAGCUGAAGCUGCUUCUCAGGAAUCAAGUAGAUUCUCCUCCUCCACUGUCCCUUUGCUAUAUAAAACCUGCGCAUAAUCCACUCUUUCCCAUAUUUUUCAUGCAAAGCCAUUUACAUUAUUUGUUGAAAGGCCAGGCAAACACAUACAGCAUGCAAUUCAGUACAGUAAAUGUGAAAACAUUUGCCAUUAAUUAUUGUAACCCCCAAUAAUUGUGAUCCCCGUGCGAAAAGGUAAAGAUAAACCAUUACCUACAAAGAAUAUUUCAUUUUCUAUGUAAGGAGGUGGCAGUGGAAGCUUGCUAGCAAUAAGUAGCCAGGACAGUAAUCUGAAAGUUUAUAUAUGUAGCUAGUGCUCCAGCCAGCAGAUAAUGCAGGCAAUUAGUGCUACUGUUAAUGUGCCUGCAUGCCUCAUUUCUGGAGAUGCAUGCUGAGCGCUCUCCUCUUAAGGUGGCUUCAGCAAGUGGUCCCUAUUUAACAGACACAGCUGUAUGCAAGGAAAGCAGAUCUUUCAGGAGGACAAGCCACAGUUUUAACUUGUUCUUGGUGUCAGAGCAGCAAUUGCAGUGAAAUGGAAGGAAAAAAACUAAACAAGUAUACAUCUACUAUAGACAGAUGGCUAAUAAAAAUUUGGGGAGCUCUUUCAAUACAGAAAUUGAGUAGUUUAAAAAGACACCUACAUAACAAAUGCUUGGACAUGUUGUCUCCUUUUAUAGAACACAAACAUUUGCCCUUUAACUCAGCAGCUCAACUAUUUGUUCCUUUGCUACUUAUUCUAUGCAAAGCUUCAAAACAGGCAUACAGCCAAUAUUUAACCUUUACUAUAUAACGUAAUGAACCCACCCAAACAAUAGGUGCAGCAAAUAUUAACAACUAAAGUGCCAUACUCAACUACAGCAAUGAAUUUUUAUGGUGAAGAUCCUGGAUUUCUGCCCUAUCGUGCCAGGUGUAGAGUAGUCCCUAUGAAUUAGCAGGUUGCAAUAACCCGUAAAUACGCAUCUCAGCCUGCUGAGGUUUAUGCACGCCUGCAAACAUCUGCUUUUGUUUUGUACUUCCAUCUGAAGACAAGAACAAAUAUUUCUAUUUCCUCUCAAAUGUUGACAGGUGAAUCAGUGUUUCAACAUUAAAGUAGGUCAGCCCACGUUGCAUUAUUCAGUGUAGCAGCAUGACACUUCUCAAUGAUAAAAUAUUGUCUAAUACUAAUUUGAAGUGAUACAAGCAUAUAUCUGCUUUCUGCAGAAGAAAAGUUGCUUUAAUUUGAAAUUGUCCCUCCUCCGUCUGGAAGGAAAACGUGAAGGAUUACAAAUCAAUUCUUAUUGCCUGCCUAUCCUCCUCAUCCUAGUCUAUAGCUGUGCAAGCCCACAAUUUGAGGACAAGCAAAUGUCUGCUCUGAGGAAGUACAAGUGACAGCUGAUGUACAGGGGUAGCAGCAGCUCCAAAAAAAGAAUUAAAGCUACCUCACAUGCAACAAACUUCUGGGAAUCUCCCCCAACCAUUUACAGAGUCACAAUCACAGCAUUUUCUAUUCCCUAAAGUGAUUUCUCUCCCCUCUCACAUUCUUUUCUGCAUAAUCUAGGGAAUUAUUCAUGAAUUAGGAAAAUCACUGUUUGUACACAAUUUCAAACUUUAUAUUAUGGCAUAGCCAGUCUAAAAUGUCACUUGUUGUUGCACUGUAGAAAAUAGACUCAAUAUGUGUUCAUUUAUCUUUAUGUUCAAGUAGAUACAUGAGGGCUGCUCUGAAAGCAUUGCAUUCCAUUUUAUGCUGUUUGCCCAUAAUAUCAGGGGCAGAUAUUGGUGGGAUGGGAGUAGAGGCUAAACCUUUCCACCAAUAUUCCAUUACAUUGUGUUGCUAUGUGACAGAUGGCAGCAGAGGGGCAAUCUGACAGAAUGGUGUCUGAUAUGGAAGAGCAUAUGGAUUAAAGGGGUGAUCAGGAGUGAAUGCCCCCCUGCAGAUAAAAUGGCACCCAAUGACAUUCGCCGAUGCUUACUGGAUGGUUAUUGGGACCAAAUAGUGAACGUGAACAAAGUGAGGCAGUGGGUGGUGUGUUUCUGCAGUGAUGACACCAAUGUGAAAGACAAACCACGUUCCAUGCACAGCUGUCACACCAUGAAAUGAAGAGCAUUUCAGUCAGCUCAUCCACAUAAAUUUGUGGAUUAUGAUGAUGGAACUGUGUAUGGAGCUGAAUAUCAGCUCCAAUACGUUGGAAACUAUAGUGGAAACAUUGGAAUAUCGCAAAGUUUACACCAGGUGGGUCCUCCAAAUGCUCACAGAGGAUUAGAAAGAACACUGUAUGCAAGUUUGUCAAAACCUAUUGAACCAAUAUGAAGUAAAGGUUACAGUUUCCUGGAUCACAUCAUUACUGGUGAUGAGACCUGGUAUCAGCAUUACAAGCCAGAGUCAAAACAGCACGCCCACAGAGUGGUGACAUGUGACUUCACCAUCAAAGAAAAACUGCAGGAUGCAGCCCCUCAGUACAUAAAUUGAUGUGCACUGUUUUUGGGGAUAAGAAAGAGAUGAUCCUUCUGGAUUUCCUGGAAUUCAGACAAACCACCAACUCCAGCCACUAUGUUCUGAUGCUGACUAAGCUGAAGGCUCAAACUUCCAGAGGUAGGCCAGAGAACAAGACAAUCUUUCUUUCACAACAAGGUAAUGCCAGGCCCCAUUCCAGUUUGAACAACAUGGAGCACAUUGCCAAUCUUGGCUGGACCUACCACACCUACCAUAUUUGGUGCCUUCUAAAUUCCAUCUGUUUGGGCCAAUGAAAGGUGGACUGUGUGGGCAACAUUUUUCUAGCAGUGACACCAUCAUAGCAGCUGUGAAACAGUGGGUCACCUUCACUGGUCCAGAUUUCUACGUAUGUGGCAUGCAGGUUCUUGUUCAUCACUGGUGAAAAUGCAAAGCUAAUGGUAGUGACUGUUGAAAAAUAGUGCUUUGUAGCUGAGAAUUUGCUCUAUCAAAUAGUCAUUGUGUUCUUCAUAUCAGUUGUAGUUUCCAUGGAAAUAAAUAGGAAACAUUAUUUUUGGAGCAACCUAUGCACUAAAAAAAUAUACCUGAAAAUAUCCUUCAAAAUGAAACAGCCUAUGAUCAUAGUUGCAGCUGAUGAGAUGGAAGAAAAAUCCUAGAACCUGUUACUGUAAUAUUAGCAGAGAUAGUAGAUGUGGAUUUAUCCAAGGGUAGAGAUGUAAAAGUUAAGUCUUUCUCUAACAGUAAUGCCUCCUCCCCAUUAGCAGUAUACUCCUCUACAUCGGUUUUAUUUGCUUCUGGCCCUUACCAGAUACAACAGCAGACACUUCAGCUCUUCUCCAACACACAUCAUAAAACCUCUAAAAAGAUGAAGGGAUAAGAACUGGAUGGAGAGAAGGGGGCUAUGCUAAACAUACAACACUGGUUAACUCCCCAUAGAAAUCCAUGCUGAUGUAAACUGAUGUUAUUCUAUAAAAAUUAAAAUAACUGUU